GAAAGAACAUAGGCUACUUUUUAUCCCGGAAUUCCCACGGGAAAACUUUUUAAGGCGAAGCGAAGCUCGCGGGGACAGCUAGUAAUUAAUAACAGUUUAGAUCUUACCAAAAACUUGAAAUACUUAUCUUUAACGUGAAUAUUCUUGAUUAUUUCUCAUUUUAAACCAUUACCUUAAAUAUAUAUUUAAACUGGCAACUAUUUUUGAUACAAAAAAUACUCUGUUACAAGAGCUCUGUGUAAUGUGUGUGGUGUAAACAAAACAAACUUAGAAACACGGAAUGGCAACGAAAUUAUGUUUGAAAUGUAUUUAUUAUAAAUAAUGUUUUUCCCGAUUUCCUGUAAUAGUUUUGUGAGAAAACUGACCAAAGCACUCUUAAUACAAUGAAUGCGUUUGCCCUGGCUUGCUCUACGGUUGUUACAGGGUAUAAUUAAGUACGGAAGACUCCACACAUCGCAAAAAAAUAACGCUAAAUUAUGAUCAAAAUAUCGAAUACAAACAUGUGUGAUUGCAAGUAAACAAAUAGGUGACCAUAAAGACAUCUUAUGAUUAUUAAACAAGGAAUUAAAACUGCAGCUAUUUGUAUGAGCUUUUCCUACAGAAUAGCUCUAUGGAAUACCUAUAUUGGUUCAAACAUCUGACCUGUAAUGUAAGCAACAAUAGAAAAAAUGCUAAAUCAUAACACAACACAACAUUGAAAUCACCAGUUGAAAUUUUGAAAGAAAGAAAGAAAAUUCAUUUAUUUCUGACACACACAGAAACAACUUAAUACAUUUACAACAAAAGGUUUAAAAGGUAAUAAAAAUGAAAUAGAAAGUGAGUUUGAAUGUUGCUUUCUGGUGCCGAAAUGGGUUCUAGAUCAGCUUGAUACUAUGGCAGGUAGCACUGGUAUUCAGCUAGAACCCUUGGAUUUAAUGAAGUAAUUGCAUUAGACCUGGUUUCUCAUGAUUAUGUUAGUUACAGUCUAAAUCGCGGAUUUGCUGACGACGCGUUUAAGGAUUAUUACCCUUGUUAACUGGAUGAGUCCCAUGACGAAAAUCUAACACACCAUUCAUAAAUCAAGCAUUAUGUGUAUCAUUCAC